GGACGAUUUAAGUGAAAACGGUGUUAGACAAUAAAUAUUUUUAACUAGAAACUGCAAAAAUGGUGAAUCGCUGUGUGGUGUGCAAAAAAAUCAGCAGUAAAAGCAGUGGGAAAUCCAUGCACCGAAUGCCUACUGAUAGUGCUCGACAGAAAUUAUGGAUGAACCAGUUAAAACUGAAAAUUUUAGAAUCUUCCAAAUGGCUAUAUGUUUGCUCUGACCAUUUCUGUGACGAAGAUUUCAUCCUUAAAUUUGGAAAAAAAUGUUUGAAAACUGAAGCUAUUCCAUCCAGGAUUUCAUUGCCUGAUCCUUGUUCAAGUAACACAUUAGCGGCUUCAGACGAAAGGUAUAUGACCCAGGACCCAUCAGAUGUUGGUAAAGUUGGGGAGUCCUCAAAAUUGAUUGGUUCUGAAUUAUCAGAAACUUCAGAUUUGUCUGCUACGGCAAGUGCUUCAGAUUUAUCUGCCACAUUGACUGCUUCCGAUUUAUCUGCUACAGACAUGUCUGUUGCUUUGGCCGCUUCAGAUUUAUCAGGCAAAGUCGAUUCCUUAGAAGUAUUUGAUACUGAAAAAUUUGCAGCACCACAUACAAAUACUUCAUGUUGCACAUCGACUGCUUCAGAUGGAAGGAGUGUGACCUAGACACAAAAGGUGCUGCAAAGUCAUUUAUUCUAUUUCAUAUAUGAAUACAACAAAAUAGUGAAUUGCAAUGAUCGCACCAGUCUGUUGAUACCCCUCAUCAAAGAAACUACGUGUAUUUCCUUUAUUUUCAAAUUUGAUAGUAUCUGUCCAUUGUCAUGUUGUCAAACUUUCAGAAUCCUAUUGUUUCGUUUAUAUAUUCUAUUUUCCAGAACUAUAUGUACUAAAAAUGAUUGAUAAUUUUUAUCUUGAAAUAGUGUGGUACUCACCACAUAUUCAAUUGUGCAGAAUGGUUGAAAACAAAAUAAUACUUGAUUCAAGUUCAGCAAUGAAUUCAGUAAUCUAAUAAAAGAAUUAUGCUUUCUAAUUAGUCCCUCUUAUUAUAAAUGUUGCAUAUAAAUGUUGUGCUACAGGAUUAUUGUGAUAUGUUUUUAUAAAGGAAUUUUUUGUCAGUAUUAAGUUUUCAAUCAUUUAAUAAGAACAUUCAAUCAUUUAAAUUUUAAGUAUAAUUUUGAUAAAGACGCAUUAACUAUUUUGAGAAUUGUCAGAGUCUUAAUUAAUUUUGUGAGCUCCUUAUUGACCUAUUAAUUUAUGUCAUUGUACUGUAAUGUUUUUCCGGAUGGAGUUGUAUAAUAUUAAUUAAGAAUUGUUCUUAUAAGAUUUUGUUCAUUAUUUCUAUAGGAAUAUUUCUUCUAUUCCUGUUCGACUACAAAAGCAAAUUUUAAUGAAUUAUUGUAAUUAAUUUCUAAAUACAAUGUAGAAAA